GUGGGGAAUAUUGCGCAAUGGGGGAAACCCUGACGCAGCAACGCCGCGUGAGUGAUGAAGGCCUUCGGGUCGUAAAGCUCUGUCGCAGGGGACGAAAGCCAGCGGGCAAAUAGCCUGCUGGGAUGACGGUACUCUGCAAGAAAGCCCCGGCCAACUCCGUGCCAGCAGCCGCGGUAAGACGGAGGGGGCGAGCGUUGUUCGGAAUUACUGGGCGUAAAGGGCGCGCAGGCGGUCAUGCAAGUCGGUGGUGAAAGCCCACGGCUCAACCGUGGAAUUGCCUUCGAAACUACAUGACUUGAGUACGGAAGAGGAGAGCGGAAUUCCCAGUGUAGCGGUGAAAUGCGUAGAUAUUGGGAGGAACACCGGUGGCGAAGGCGGCUCUCUGGUCCGAAACUGACGCUGAGGCGCGAAAGCCAGGGGAGCAAACGGGAUUAGAUACCCGGGUAGUCC
rnacentral:rRNA from 1 species